rnacentral:rRNA from 1 species
AUUGAACGCUGGCGGAAUGCUUUACACAUGCAAGUCGAGCGGCAGCGCGGGGCAACCUGGCGGCGAGCGGCGAACGGGUGAGUAACUACAUCGGAACGUGCCCAGACGUGGGGGAUAACUACUCGAAAGAGUGGCUAAUACCGCAUACGAUCUACGGAUGAAAGCGGGGGAUCGCAAGACCUCGCGCGUCUGGAGCGGCUGAUGGCAGAUUAGGUAGUUGGUGGGAUAAAAGCCUACCAAGGCGAAGACGGGUAGCCGGCCUGAGAGGGUGAACGGCCACACUGGGACUGAGACACGGCCCAGACUCCUACGGGAGGCAGCAGUGAGGAAUUUUCCGCAAUGGGCGCAAGCCUGACGGAGCGACGCCGCGUGAGGGAUGACGGCCUUCGGGUUGUAAACCUCUUUUAUUAGGGAAAAAGGCAAUCGUGCUAAUACCACGGUUGUUUGAUGUUACCUGUUGAAUAAGCCCCGGCUAACUACGUG